CUUUCAAGCGGUCUCACUCGAAUUCUCUCUUCUAAAAGACCUCAUUUUUUUGUUGGUAACUGCUAAACGACAUGUUAGUCCCACGCUACAAUUCCAUGUUGGAGUUAAACGGUCAAGUUUGGUGUCGAAAUGUGAACAAUAUUGUGGCUACAAUGGAAGCUUGGCGACCAGCAGCCACGUGGACUCAAGCAAGGCGCACGUGCCAGAAUUCACUCGGCCAGGACGCCAUUGCAGCUGAAGAUUGGAGGUCAUGAGACACGGCGUUUGGGACGUGACAUAAAUGGUUUGGAGGUGUGCUGCUCAAGUUUCCAGAGCCUGGUCCAUGAUGGUGAGGUUCUGACCCAGCUGGGAGCAGACUGAGGUUUCAUGAAGACCUGCCAUCUUCUACACGUUCAUUGAAAUGAUGCAUGUUUAAGAUUGUCCACUGAGGGCUUCAGAGGUGGAACGUGACCAAAGUCUGGGCUUCCCUACCGAAAGGAUGGAUGGCUUCAGGAUGACCUUUCAUGUUAGUCAGGUUUCAUGAAGACCUGCCAUCUUCUACACGUUCAUUGAAAUGAUGCAUGUCUAAGGGGUGGAACGUGACCAAAGUCUGGGCUUCCCUACAGAAAGGAUGGAUGGCUUCAGGAUGACCUUUCAUGUUAGUCAGGUUUCCUAAAGACCUGCCAUCUUCUACACGUUCAUUGAAAUGAUGCAUGUCUAAGAUUGUCCACUGAGGGCUUCAGAGGUGGAACGUGACCAAAGUCUGGGCUUCCCUCCAGAAAGGAUGGAUGGCUUCAGGAUGACCUUUCAUGUUAGUCAGGAUGUGGAACAUGGUCGGCCUUUUGAUGAGGAAGGAAAUGAUUCAAGGAGCUGCUUUUUUGUGUAUAAAUGUUUCAAAUGAAUUAAACAACUUUUAAUU